rnacentral:rRNA from 1 species
GGAUGACUUGUGGUUAGGGGUGAAAGGCCAAUCAAACUGAGAAAUAGCUCGUACUCCCCGAAAUGCUUUUAGGAGCAGCGUGUGGGUGAGUUUAUUAGAGGUAGAGCUACCGAUUGGACUAGGGGGAGUCAAAUCCUACCAAAUCCAGACGAACUCCGAAUGCUAAUAAAUAUACCACGCAGUGAGGGCUUGGGUGCUAAGGUCCGAGUCCGAGAGGGAAAGAACCCAGACCAUCAGCUAAGGUCCCCAAAUAUAUG